AGUGAACGCUGGCGGUAGGCCUAACACAUGCAAGUCGAACGGCAGCACAGUAAGAGCUUGCUCUUACGGGUGGCGAGUGGCGGACGGGUGAGGAAUACAUCGGAAUCUACUUUUUCGUGGGGGAUAACGUAGGGAAACUUACGCUAAUACCGCAUACGACCUACGGGUGAAAGCAGGGGAUCUUCGGACCUUGCGCGAUUGAAUGAGCCAAUGUCGGAUUAGCUAGUUGGCGGGGUAAAGGCCCACCAAGGCGACGAUCCGUAGCUGGUCUGAGAGGGUGAUCAGCCACACUGGAACUGAGACACGGUCCAGACUCCUACGGGAGGCAGCAGUGGGGAAUAUUGGACAAUGGGCGCAAGCCUGAUCCAGCCAUACCGCGUGGGUGAAGAAGGCCUUCGGGUUGUAAAGCCCUUUUGUUGGGAAAGAAAAGCAGCAGGUUAAUACCCCGCUGUUCUGACGGUACCCAAAGAAUAAGCACCGGCUAACUUCGUG
rnacentral:rRNA from 1 species